ensembl:lncRNA
UAUCAUAUCUCUGUAUGGGCCGAGCUGAUUAGGCUGACGGGAAUGAAAUAACAUCUGGAGGUCCAGAAGUUACUCAAACCUGCCAUGAAAAAAAUCAGGCACUCACAGGAGCUAAGACUCUGUGGUACUGUAGUUAUCUACACUGGAGAAAUGCCUCUCCUUACAGAUAAACUAGUACACCACUGGUAGAAAGAUCAGAUAUUCUGUAUAAAAAAAGAAAAGAUGGCUUCAUAUGUCACUUAAUCUUAUCAAGUGGCUUCCACAAACAAAUUCUAAUCACUCAAGCAAGAAACACAUACCUAAUCUAGGUCUGGGAAAUUAAUUAGCCCAAAAUCAAUUACUGUGAUAGCCAGAUAAAAUGUUUCUUCCAGAUCUAAUAUACUCUGGUUCCAUCUACCAAGCCCCUUUCUACUAAUCACUGAAAUACAUUAAAGUCUGAAUCUCUGUUACAUUUGUUAAAGUUUUUGUUUUAGUAUCGCCAACUUAAAAACACAAAAGAAAACAUGAAGUCGAAAGGUCUUGUCAUAAUAUAUUACAAAACUGCUGCCAAGGCAACAGUCAUUUGGUAGUCAAAGCAGACAAACAUAGCUGGCUCUAUACAACAUCCCUUUGCUCAAGCAUAAUUAUAGGUGAACACUAUGGUUUAUAUUUCUCAGAUAACAAGCACACAGAAACUGUGUGAUAAGAUGGAACAGGUACUCUGCUUGCCAUGGAAAAUAUCUCGGAACAACUUAUGGAAUCCUGAACACUGGAAUCUGUUGAAGAAACAGAAAAUGAGAAAUACAACAGAUCCUUUGCUAGAACGGGGACAGGAGACUAGCACAUGAUGCCUUGCAAGUAGAGAGAAAACCUGGGAAGACUUGGACAAGAGCAGCAGGAUACUGGAACGGCCAUCUAUUUUGUAAAAGAAAGAUGUUCCAGAUACCCUUCUUCCAAUGUGGUUCUAAAUAACGCAAAGGCCAAAGGAAACAACUGAUAUUUGUUUUAUGGCGAGUUCUAUCUAUAUACACGGCUUUACUUAAUACACGGAACCUAUACCGAUAAAAGUGACAAGAAAGAGCGUAUGAUUUCAUUUACAUAGCCUGUCCUACAUCCCCAGUCAUUCCUGUCCUCCAUCCAAAUAAUUAUUUUAUUAAAAACAUAUUAACUCAAUUAGGAAUUUUUAACAUGGAAGGGAAAAGGGGGGAGACGGCUAAACUAAAACUAUUAUAGAGCAAGAAUACAUUUAAUCAAUGCCAUUCUGGAAUUGUACAUGUUUUCUUUAUUUUGCUAUUUCCAUCUAGAACAUAAGCACACUACUGGCCAGAAUCUCACUGGGAUUUUAUUCUUUUGUAAAGUGAAAUAAUUCAAGGUGCAGUGGCAAAUUGUAGCUAAUUAAUAAGGUGCCGAUCUCCUCUCUGGCACACAAUUAGGCACACACCCAGCAUCUUGUAAAUAAGCUUCAAUUUGCUGCCACAAUUUACACAAUUUCAUUUACUCCAUUGUAAAAUCCCAAUAAGAUUCUGGCCUUUCUUAUGGUUCUAGUCAACAAGAAUAACAAGGGGCAGUUGAUUUUUUUUAAAGCAAUGCUACAAGUGACAGAAAAUAUUUUCCAUGGCCAUUUUUGAUUAUAGCCUUCUUAAAUUACUAUCGUUUGCACUGAUGCAGUCUUUUCCAAAUUACAACCAAGCCUCUUGGUGUACGAAAUGAAGGGAGGGAAAACCCUAUAUUUCUGCUGCUCAUCCCACUGAAAGAGCCUAUUUCUGCAGCCAAAUACCAGAUGCCUAAACCAUCGAGGCAUCCAGCUGUUCCUGUGAGAACACCUGUACUCAUUACAGGGAAUGUACA